rnacentral:rRNA from 1 species
AGGACGAACGCUGGCGGCGUGCUUAACACAUGCAAGUCGAGCGGUAAGGCCUUUCGGGGUACACGAGCGGCGAACGGGUGAGUAACACGUGGGUGAUCUGCCCUGCACUCUGGGAUAAGCCUGGGAAACUGGGUCUAAUACCGGAUAUGACCUGCUCUCGCAUGGGGGUGGGUGGAAAGAUUUAUCGGUGCAGGAUGGGCCCGCGGCCUAUCAGC